UAGAAGACCAUGAAUAAAGAAGUAUAAAAAUCUAACAAAACACCACAAAUAAAUUGUAAGACUCCAGGUUUUUCCUAAAUAUCUUUAGUUUCAAAUAUGCACUAUACAUUUUUGUUGCCACAGUUAUUUGGCUAGACCUGCAUCUACCAUCUGAGAAUAAUAUGAUCAUACUAAAUUCAUGUAACUAAAAAGUGAACCCAUCACACAUUAGCAUGUUUUCUCAAUAUACAGUGUCAUGGAUCUGCAAUUCUCCAUGAAGUCAAUGGAAGAAAACAGGACCAAUGGUGUCAUAAAUUUGGAGUGAUAUGCUACCAGCCUCCUAAGCUAUAAGAGGUGCCAACCCUCCAGGCCUGGCGUCUCCAGGAAUUAAUCUUUAAUUAAAUAUUAUGUGAUGUGAUGAAAUCCUCAGGAAUACAUCCAACCAAAAUUGGCAACCCUACUACUGAUUCAGCUGCUGCCAUUGCGGCCUUCUGGGACUCCUCUUGUAUCCCUGUCCCCCGACAGAAUUCCAGAGCCAGAUAAGGAGGAGAAAGAUGAUGACUCAGGAUGACAUGUUCAAUGAGAACUUGCAAGCCAGUGCUGCAUUGGGCCAUGAGCACAGGGCCAGGAGGAUGAACAUUGCAGACAGCCUGGAAGAGGAGAAAGUCAAAGGAGAAAGGCACAGAGUCCCAGCAGGAAAAGGGGAGGGACAUGACUCAGGAAAUAACGAGCAACAAACAGACAUGAGGCAGCACUCUGGUGGACUUCCAGGUUCAACAAUUACAGGCUGACUUCCAUCUACAGCUCACUGACAACUCAAUAUCAGGACCUCUCCAUAGCCCCCCCUCAACAUUCCACAUGGUAUCAGGGGUUGCUGCACUACCCCUACCACUCCACCCUGGGGGACAUUAAAACCAUCACAGCUUCACAUACUCUGAACUGUGAAAUCCAUGUGCAGCUGAGAUGGGCAGGAACGUUCUUUCCCCUUAAUAAACUAAA